GAUGAACGCUAGCGACAGGCUUAACACAUGCAAGUCGAGGGGCAGCACGGGAGUAGCAAUACAACUGGUGGCGACCGGCGCACGGGUGAGUAACGCGUAUGCAACCUACCUAUCAGAGGGGAAUAACCCGGCGAAAGUCGGACUAAUACCGCAUAAAACAGGGGCACCGCAUGGUGAUAUCUGUUAAAGAAAUUCGCUGAUAGAUGGGCAUGCGUUCCAUUAGGUAGUUGGUGAGGUAGCGGCUCACCAAGCCGACGAUGGAUAGGGGAACUGAGAGGUUGGUCCCCCACACUGGUACUGAGACACGGACCAGACUCCUACGGGAGGCAGCAGUGAGGAAUAUUGGUCAAUGGGCGGGAGCCUGAACCAGCCAAGUCGCGUGAAGGAAGAAGGAUCUAUGGUUCGUAAACUUCUUUUGCAGGGGAAUAAAGUGCAGGACGUGUCCUGUUUUGUAUGUACCCUGAGAAUAAGGAUCGGCUAACUCCGUGCCAGCAGCCGCGGUAACAC
rnacentral:rRNA from 1 species